rnacentral:rRNA from 1 species
UACGUAGGGCGCAAGCGUUGUCCGGAAUUAUUGGGCGUAAAGAGCUCGUAGGCGGCUUGUCACGUCGGGUGUGAAACCCCCGGGCUCAACCCGGGGACGCCACCCGAUACUGCUGUGGCUAGAGUCCGGUAGGGGAGCGUGGAAUUCCUGGUGUAGCGGUGAAAUGCGCAGAUAUCAGGAGGAACACCAGCGGCGAAGGCGGCGCUCUGGGCCGGUACUGACGCUGAGGAGCGAAGGCCAGGGGAGCAAACGGG